CCCGAGACUGAGCGGCGGCUGGUAAUGGCAGUUCAUAGUCUCCGUGGAGCCGUUGCAACACAGUUAGCAAAGCACUUGCACCCUCCUUUAGACCCGGGCUGCAAGGCGCGCGCGCGGCGCCCUCACUACUGACCGCAUUCCCACGAAGCGAUUGCAUUCGCUCCCACCGUGUCAAUUUUCAUCCCUGUCCCGAGAGCCAAAUCGAAUUUCAUUCAUUUUAUUCCAUCUCCGCUCCACUUUUCAGCUGUGUAACCUUAGGAAAGUUCCUGAGCGUCAACUGUUGAGUCUCUGAGCUUCAGUGUUCUCCAUUUCUUCAUUUCUGUAAAGUGAACAUGAGAGAGAGAAUACCAAGUAGACUCCUUGCUGAGCCCAUCAAGGGGCUGGAUCCCAGAAUCAGGAGAUCAUGGCCUGAGCAGAAACCACGAGUUGGGCACUCCACCAAGAGUGGAUGCUCUACUGACUGCCCUACCACCAGGCUCCAUGCCCAAUGUGUGGCUUGAACUCAAGACCCUGAGAUCAAGAGUCACAUGAUCCACUGACUGAGCCAGCAAGGCACCCCCUUCUUCAUCUUUGCAUGCCUAGAGUCUAGUACAGUGCCUGGUUUAGAACAGGCUUACGAAAUGUUCAUUUAGGGAAAAAAAAAAAAAAAAAGAAGUAUUCAUUGAAACAUAUUUUAUUUUGAUUUCUUUCUCAAUCACAAAAGCAAUACAACUUCCUUGCAACAAACUUUAUAAAAACAGUAAUUUUCCCUGCUUCUCAUGUAUGCAUAUUGCCAACUCAAAACUCCACCAGUGUUAAUGGUCUGAUAUGUAUUCUUUCACUUUUCUCUAUACCUAUACAAAUACACACACGUAUACCUCACACACACUCACAUAAAUAACAUAUAUACAGACUUUGUCUUGUUUUCCUUUUUUUUAAUUUAAAUUCAACUAAUUAAUAUAAUGUAUUAUUGGUUUCAGAGGUGGAGGUCAGUGAUUCAUCAGUCUUCUAUAAUACUCAUUGCUCAUUAUAUCACUUGCCCUCCUUAAUGACCAUCACCGAGUUAUCCUAUCACUCCACCACCACCCCAUCCAGCAACCCUCAAUUCGUUUCCUAUGAUUCAGAGUCUCUUAUGGUUUUUCUCCCUCUCUGAUUUGAUCAUAUUUUAUUUUUCCCUCCCUUCCUCUAUGAUCUUCUGUUUUGUUUCUUAAAUUCCACAUAUCAGUGAGAUCAUAGGAUAAUUGUCUUUCUCUGAUUGACUUAUUUCACGAGCACAAUACCCUCUAGUUCCAAACACACACUUACAAACAGCAAGAUUUCUUUUUCUUUUUUUUAUGGCUGAGUAGUAUUCAUAUAUAUAUCUCUCACAUCUUACUAAUCCAUUCAUCUGUCAAUGGACAUCUGGACUCUUCCCAUAGUUUGACUAUUAUGGACAUCACUGCUAUAAACCUUGGGGUGCAGGUGCCA